AAACACAUAGAACCGGUGUUAAAUAUGGCAUUUGUAGAACUGAUUAGAACCCCUACGUGUCACUUUAAUAUUGGGUAAUAAAUUUUCCUGUCUCUCUCUCUUCGGGGAUCUCGUCGUUGAUGUUUCUCACGAAAUUAAUUAACAGUUGGAGAUGGAGGAAGAAGCUCGGGAGAUGGAGGCUGCCGUUCUAUUGAAAGCGUCUCUACGACGUUCUCCACGAGAAGGAGAAAGUCUGUGUCUUCCACGACAACGAAGGCAUGGAACGAGGGGAAGAGAUCAAUCCAAGCCUCGUCACACGGAUAGAAGACUCUGCGGCCUCCUUAGUCGUCUUCUCACCUCGUCACGCUGACUCUCACUGGUGCCUUGAGGAGUUAGCUAAGCUCUGUGAUCUGAGCUCAUUGCUUGAUCGUUCCAUGAUACCAAUCUUUUACAAGGUGGAUCCCUCUCACGUACUCAAACAGAACGGUCAUCUCGUUGUGGACUUUGAAACACACGCCAAAAGAUUUUAGGACAAGGAGAUACAGCCAUGGAGAGGAGCUAUGAAGAAAGUUGGAAACCUCCCUGGAUAUGUUUACAGAGAAGGAGAAGAUGACGAUGAGAUGAUAGGGCUUGUGGUGAAGAUAGUUUUAGCUGAAGCCAACAAUACACCAGAGCAAGUUGGAGAAUACACGGUUGGCUUGGAGUCGCGUGUUGAUGAUUUGGAGAAAGUUGGAGAAUACACGGUUGGCUUGGUUGCGCCAGAACUCUAGUGGCGACACUACUGCAUUGGUUUUCUGCUGCUUCUUCGAAUCUUUCUCCGGUGUUACCUUCGCAUUACAAUAACAAAGGAGGCAAUUCAACUACUAUAAACCAACAACAUGAUCACCACAGGAUCAUUGGUUACAAGGUAUCAUUAUGAUUCACAUUUGAAUAAUCUCAGGGAACAUAGUCUACCUCCUGAUCAUAGCUUUGUUGUUGUUGUUGACUUGGUAUAUGAAUAGGGUUUAUCUACAAUUGGUCAAAAUUGCUAGUUGAUCUAUCAUUGUGAUUCAAAGGUUUGUUUUUUAUGA